ACUGCUGACGAGUCCCAAAUAGAACGAAACUCGUGUCCUGGAU
rnacentral:hammerhead_ribozyme from 1 species